rnacentral:rRNA from 1 species
AGUUUGAUCCCGGCUCAGAAUCAACGCUGGCGGCGCGCCUAACACAUGCAAGUCGAACGAGAAAGUGGAGCAAUCCAUGAGUACAGUGGCGUACGGGUGAGUAACACGUGGGUAAUCUACCUUUUAGUGAGGAAUAACCGAGGGAAACUUUGGCUAAUACCGCAUAAGCCCGAGAGGGGAAAGCAGAAAUGCGCUGAAAGAGGAGCCCGCGGCCGAUUAGCUAGUUGGUGGGGUAAGAGCCUACCAAGGCAGAGAUCGGUAGCCGGCCUGAGAGGGCACACGGCCACACUGGCACUGAAACACGGGCCAGACUCCUACGGGAGGCAGCAGUGGGGAAUCUUGCACAAUGGGGGAAACCCUGAUGCAGCGACGCCGCGUGAGCGAUGAAGCCCUUCGGGGUGUAAAGCUCUUUCGUCAGGGAAGAUAGUGACGGUACCUGGAGAAGCAGCUGCGGCUAACUACGUGCCAGCAGCCGCGGUAAUACGUAGGCAGCAAGCGUUGUUCGGAGUUACUGGGCGUAAAGGGUGUGUAGGCGGUUCCUUAAGUUUGCUGUGAAAUCUCCCGGCUUAACCGGGAGGGUGCGGUGAAUACUGAGGGACUAGAGUACGGGAGAGGAAAGUGGAAUUCCUGGUGUAGCGGUGAAAUGCGUAGAUAUCAGGAGGAACACCGGUGGUGUAGACGGCUUUCUGGACCGUAACUGACGCUGAGACACGAAAGCGUGGGUAGCAAACAGGAUUAGAUACCCUGGUAGUCCACGCCCUAAACGAUGCAUAUUUGGUGUGGGCAGUUCAUUCUGUCCGUGCCGGAGCUAACGCGUUAAAUAUGCCGCCUGGGGAGUACAGUCGCAAGGCUGAAACUCAAAGGAAUUGACGGGGGCCCGCACAAGCG